ACUCUUGGCCAGCCUUCUGAAAGGAAGAUUAAUCCAGGAUGGGAUCAUGAGUUCACAUGUCCGCAUGAUUAAAGGUAUUUUCCGGUAGACGAUGGGGAUGCGUUCCAUUAGAUAGUAGGCGGGGUAACGGCCCACCUAGUCAACGAUGGAUAGGGGUUCUGAGAGGAAGGUCCCCCACAUUGGUACUGAGACACGGUCCAAACUCCUACGGGAGGCAGCAGUGAGGAAUAUUGGUCAAUGGGCGAUGGCCUGAACCAGCCAAGUAGCGUGAAGGAUGACUGCCCUAUGGGUUGUAAACUUCUUUUAUAAAGGAAUAAAGUCGGGUAUGCAUACCCGUUUGCAUGUACUUUAUGAAUAAGGAUCGGCUAACUCCGUGCCAGCAGCCGCGGUAAUACGGAGGAUCCGAGCGUUAUCCGGAUUUAUUGGGUUUAAAGGGAGCGUAGAUGGAUGUUUAAGUCAGUUGUGAAAGUUUGCGGCUCAACCGUAAAAUUGCAGUUGAUACUGGAUGUCUUGAGUGCAGUUGAGGCAGGCGGAAUUCGUGGUGUAGCGGUGAAAUGCUUAGAUAUCACGAAGAACUCCGAUUGCGAAGGCAGCCUGCUAAGCUGCAACUGACAUUGAGGCUCGAAAGUGUGGGUAUCAAACAGGAUUAGAUACCCUGGUAGUCCACACGGUAAACGA
rnacentral:rRNA from 1 species